GAUGAACGCUGGCGGCGUGCCUAAUACAUGCAAGUCGAGCGAACGGACGAGAAGCUUGCUUCUCUGAUGUUAGCGGCGGACGGGUGAGUAACACGUGGAUAACCUACCUAUAAGACUGGGAUAACUUCGGGAAACCGGAGCUAAUACCGGAUAAUAUUUUGAACCGCAUGGUUCAAAAGUGAAAGACGGUCUUGCUGUCACUUAUAGAUGGAUCCGCGCUGCAUUAGCUAGUUGGUAAGGUAACGGCUUACCAAGGCAACGAUGCAUAGCCGACCUGAGAGGGUGAUCGGCCACACUGGAACUGAGACACGGUCCAGACUCCUACGGGAGGCAGCAGUAGGGAAUCUUCCGCAAUGGGCGAAAGCCUGACGGAGCAACGCCGCGUGAGUGAUGAAGGUCUUCGGAUCGUAAAACUCUGUUAUUAGGGAAGAACAUAUGUGUAAGUAACUGUGCACAUCUUGACGGUACCUAAUCAGAAAGCCACGGCUAACUACGUGCCAGCAGCCGCGGUAAUACGUAGGUGGCAAGCGUUAUCCGGAAUUAUUGGGCGUAAAGCGCGCGUAGGCGGUUUUUUAAGUCUGAUGUGAAAGCCCACGGCUCAACCGUGGAGGGUCAUUGGAAACUGGAAAACUUGAGUGCAGAAGAGGAAAGUGGAAUUCCAUGUGUAGCGGUGAAAUGCGCAGAGAUAUGGAGGAACACCAGUGGCGAAGGCGACUUUCUGGUCUGUAACUGACGCUGAUGUGCGAAAGCGUGGGGAUCAAACAGGAUUAGAUACCCUGGUAGUCCACGCCGUAAACGAUGAGUGCUAAGUGUUAGGGGGUUUCCGCCCCUUAGUGCUGCAGCUAACGCAUUAAGCACUCCGCCUGGGGAGUACGACCGCAAGGUUGAAACUCAAAGGAAUUGACGGGGACCCGCACAAGCGGUGGAGCAUGUGGUUUAAUUCGAAGCAACGCGAAGAACCUUACCAAAUCUUGACAUCCUUUGACAACUCUAGAGAUAGAGCUUUCCCCUUCGGGGGACAAAGUGACAGGUGGUGCAUGGUUGUCGUCAGCUCGUGUCGUGAGAUGUUGGGUUAAGUCCCGCAACGAGCGCAACCCUUAAGCUUAGUUGCCAUCAUUAAGUUGGGCACUCUAAGUUGACUGCCGGUGACAAACCGGAGGAAGGUGGGGAUGACGUCAAAUCAUCAUGCCCCUUAUGAUUUGGGCUACACACGUGCUACAAUGGACAAUACAAAGGGCAGCGAAACCGCGAGGUCAAGCAAAUCCCAUAAAGUUGUUCUCAGUUCGGAUUGUAGUCUGCAACUCGACUACAUGAAGCUGGAAUCGCUAGUAAUCGUAGAUCAGCAUGCUACGUUGAAAGCGUUCCCGGGUCU
rnacentral:rRNA from 1 species